AGUCGAGGGGCAGCGAGGGUAUAGCAAUAUUACCUGUCGGCGACCGGCUCACGGGUGCGUAACGCGUAUGCAACCUACCAUCAACAGGGGGAUAACACUGAGAAAUUGGUACUAAUACCCCAUAAUAUCUCAUGCGGCAUCGCAUGGGGUUGAAAACUCCGGUGGUUGAUGAUGGGCAUGCGUUGUAUUAGCUGGUUGGUGAGGUAACGGCUCACCAAGGCGACGAUACAUAGGGGGACUGAGAGGUUAACCCCCCACAUUGGUACUGAGACACGGACCAAACUCCUACGGGAGGCAGCAGUGAGGAAUAUUGGUCAAUGGACGCAAGUCUGAACCAGCCAUGCCGCGUGCAGGAUGACGGCUCUAUGAGUUGUAAACUGCUUUUGUACGAGGGUAAACCCCGAUACGUGUAUCGGGUUGAAAGUAUCGUACGAAUAAGGAUCGGCUAACUCCGUGCCAGCAGCCGCGGUAAUACGGAGGAUCCGAGCGUUAUCCGGAUUUAUUGGGUUUAAAGGGUGCGUAGGCGGUUUGAUAAGUUAGAGGUGAAAUGUCGGGGCUCAACCCCGAAACUGCCUCUAAUACUGUUGGACUAGAGAAUAGUUGCGGUAGGCGGAAUGUAUGGUGUAGCGGUGAAAUGCUUAGAGAUCAUACAGAACACCGAUUGCGAAGGCAGCUUACCAAACUAUAUCUGACGUUGAGGCACGAAAGCGUGGGUAGCAAACAGGAUUAGAUACCCUGGUAGUCCACGCAGUANACGAUGAUAACUCGUUGNCGGCGAUACACAGUCGGUGAC
rnacentral:rRNA from 1 species